rnacentral:rRNA from 1 species
AUGGAGAAGGUUAAGCUGAAAAAAGAGCAGAUGUGCAUCCUGCAGAGUCAAGCAGAUAUAAUCCAUAACACAAGAAAGGCCAUGAAGGAAAUAGAGGUGGACAAAGACCUCCUCAAGGAAGAGAAGAAGAAGUUGGAGCAUGUCAUUGCUGAGCUCCUGAAGGCUGGUCAUGGGUGCAAAGAAAAGCUGGACAAGAUCAAAGAAGUUGUCAUGGAGUGA